CAACAUAUCAGCACUGCUGACUAACUAACGUCUCUGACCAGCAGGAAAAAAGUGUGCAGAUCAAGUCUGCGAGAAUGUGCUCAGUCGGGUGUCCCUCUGACUCCUGCUGAGACGGCACCAGAAGAAAUCACUGGACCUCAGCCCCCCCCACCUUCAUCAACAGUGAGGAAGAGGAUGAAGGUCACCUACCUCCCUCACCUUUCCCAGAAAGCUCCCAGCAUCCGGGUGAAGUCCUGAGAGAGGAUGUGGAGGAACAGGGUGAAGAGAAUGAGUGAUGAUGAUGAUGAUGAUGACGACUGGACUCCUCAGGACACGAUGUUGCACGUCUUUGGCCAGAGCCAUUUGACCAUUCAACUUCCAGAAGCUUCCACUCAGUUUGUCACUGAUCUAGCUCUGGACAGCCUGAGAACACUCAUGGACCCUGUGCACGAAUAUCUGCGUAGGAACAGGACAAACAGAAACACACAGAUGAAUCCGUGCACUGUUGGACUUCCAGGAGAGGCACCAUCAACUAGCCCUACCUGCGCAGGCAACAGCUCCGGUGUGUCAAAUCCUUCUCAAGAAGAAGACGACGAAGUGAGGCUCAUUUGCGCCAUUCGGAGCGCCCAAGCAAAUCAGCCCACGAGCCGCCCGACGUCUCCUGGGCCCUUUGACUGCAUGGUGCCCGAAUAUGGCAGGGACCACCCUCUGCCAUGAAGGCUUGGAGGGCCGAUGCAUGGGGUGCCAGCUUCGGGGCAGCAGGGGAGAACUACACACCUGGAUGGUAUCCAAUUUACCAUACUCCACCAUCUACUGAUGCCUCCAGGCCAUCAAACACGGAUUUAGCGGCGACGGCACAGACUGAACAUGCUCAGCACAGCUCCGGGCCUGAAAACACUCCCAGAGAUCCUGAUGAGGUCAGAGCUCACAGCUCCAGUGCUGCUCCUGCCGUGGGCCAGAGCGGCAGAAGCCAGAGGGAGCAAAGUAGGUCCAGGAAGAGGAGCAGAGAGGCGAACUCCCCGAGCUCCUCUCACAGUUCAGAGAGCGAGAGCAGCCCCAGCAAGAUGAGACGAGAGAAUGAACAGGAAUGACAAGUCACUUCUCUCAAGCAAUAAUAAUAAACGCUUAUGCUUA